rnacentral:rRNA from 1 species
UUUUUAAAAGUAAAAAUUGAUUAUUUUACCUAAGUAUUAUGAAGAUAAGUAAAUUAUUAUAUGUUACUUAGCAAUAUUAUAUAUAUUUAAAACUUAAAAGGUUUGGCGGUUUUACAUAUCCAGUUAGGGGAGUUUGUUAAAAUAAUUUGAUAAUCCACAUUUUAGACUUACUUUUUUUUGAUAUUAUAUAUUAAUAUAACAGUUUAUAUAUUGCUGUCGUCAGUUUAUAUUUUAAGAAUAAAAGGACUAAUUAAAUGUUUUGGUUAUUAUGUCAAGUCAUAAUGUAGCUUAUGAAGAAGAUUUAAUGGACUACUAUAAUUAAUUUUAUUUAAUAUAUCCGGAUAAUAUAAAUUAUAUUUUAUUAGUAAGGUGGACUUAAUAGUAAAUUUAGUAAUUAGUAUGUAUAGUUGAAUAUGGUUUUGUAAGGUG